rnacentral:rRNA from 1 species
UACGUAGGGUGCAAGCGUUGCCCGGAUUUAUUGGGCGUAAAGGGCGCGCAGGCGGCUACGCACGUCCGUUGUGAAAUCGCUCGGCUCAACUGGGCGGGGUCAGCGGAUACGGCGUAGCUGGAGCAAGCUAGGGGGCAAUGGAAUUCCCGGUGUAGUGGUGGAAUGCGUAGAUAUCGGGAGGAACACCAGUGGCGAAGGCGGUUGCCUGGAGCUUUGCUGACGCUGAGGCGCGAAAGCUAGGGGAGCAAACAGG